UCCGGUUUGUCACCGGCAGUCUCAUUAGAGUGCCCUUGCGUAGCAACUAAUGAUAAGGGUUGCGCUCGUUGCGGGACUUAACCCAACAUCUCACGACACGAGCUGACGACAGCCAUGCAGCACCUGUGUUCAGGUUCUCUUUCGAGCACGAAGCCAUCUCUGGCGACUUCCUGACAUGUCAAGGGUAGGUAAGGUUUUUCGCGUUGCAUCGAAUUAAUCCACAUCAUCCACCGCUUGUGCGGGUCCCCGUCAAUUCCUUUGAGUUUUAAUCUUGCGACCGUACUCCCCAGUUCUCAUCGUUUACAGCGUGGACUAC
rnacentral:misc_RNA from 1 species